rnacentral:rRNA from 1 species
GACGAACGCUGGCGGCGUGCCUAAUACAUGCAAGUCGAGCGAAUCAAUAGGAGCUUGCUCCUGUUGGUUAGCGGCGGACGGGUGAGUAACACGUGGGCAACCUGCCUGUAAGACUGGGAUAACACCGGGAAACCGGUGCUAAUACCGGAUAAUCCUUUUUCUCUCAUGAGGGAAAGCUGAAAGUCGGUUUCGGCUGACACUUACAGAUGGGCCCGCGGCGCAUUAGCUAGUUGGUGAGGUAAUGGCUCACCAAGGCGACGAUGCGUAGCCGACCUGAGAGGGUGUUCGGCCACAAUGGGAUUGAAACACGGCCCAGACUCCUACAGGAGGCAAUAUUAGGGAAGCUUCCACAAUUGACGAAAGUCUGAUGGAGCAACGACGCGUGAGCGAUGAAGGCCUUCGGGUCGUAAAGCUCUGUUGUUAGGGAAGAACAAGUACCGGAGUAACUGCCGGUACCUUGACGGUACCUAACCAGAAAGCCACGGCUAACUACGUGCCAGCCGCCGCUGUAACAC